rnacentral:tRNA from 1 species
UGCGGGAUGGACCAGUGGCUGGUCGGCAGCCUCAUAAGCUGCACAGGUGGGUUCAAUUCCCACUCCCGCUA